rnacentral:tRNA from 1 species
GCGGCUGUAGCUCAGCCUGGUUAGAGCGCUGGCCUGUCACGCCAGAGGUCGCGGGUUCGAACCCCGUCAGCCGCGCCA